rnacentral:lncRNA from 1 species
CAAAAAAAAACAAAAGAAGAAAUAUUCACGACAACAAAACCAUUCGCUUUGUCAAGUUUUGUCACCAAUCUGAAUCAGUGAAUCCUCUUUACAAGAUCCCGUUACAAAAAAAAAAAAUCUUGAAGACAGCGUCUAACGUAAGAGUUCCAGAGUUACAAAAAAAAAAAGAAAACGCUCUUCAGAAGAAGAAGAUGAAGAGGUUCCGUUGAAGUUGAACGACGACGCUGUUGCGGUCUUUGUCUGUGAAACGGCGUUACUCGGUUGGAAUAAUGAAUGUCCAAACUCUUUCUCCGUUGUAACGAAGUGAGUCCUUUUGUUUAUUAAUUUAUACGUCCAAUUUCGUUGCCUCAUUUAGUUUAUUUCUAUUUUUUUUUAAUUUCAACUUGUGGUGUUGUCGUGUCAUGUGUGUCGCUUGUGUGUUGUCUAUUCCCACCAGACACAAGAAACAAGCCUAUUUCAGUGGCUGUGUGACUUGUGUGUGUUAGUUGUUACUAGACAUGCUUGUUUAUACACUAGCUAGUGCUCGUUUUACUUUUUUUUACAUGUAGUAGUGUAGUACCUAAUAAACUUUUUGGAGUUUCUUUUCUAGAGAUUAAUUUAUUUAUACAUUUUCUAGAAAUUAAGUUAGGUACAUUUUUCAAAUAAAUACUAAUGCAUUUAUUAUUUUUUUUCUUGAUCGUCAAAUGUUAAUUGUUUGCUGGAGAAACAAACAAAUCAACCUUAUAUCUUCUAAUAAAUUUAUUAUAAUUAGUAAUUUAUAGUUUUUUAUAAGUAAAAAUUGAAAAAUGUGUCAGAAAAUUUACAAUAACUCACACAUUAUAUUUAAUUAAUUAAGUUAGAUCUUUUAACAAUAAUUUAUAAUUAGAUGAUGGUGUAAAGACUCCUUACACUUUUUUUAUGAAUUAAAAAAGAAAAGGAAUAAAAGAGAUAAAAGAUGGAGAGAAUUAUAAAAUACUUAUGAUGCGAGUCAAACCAAGAAUUUUUUCACCUCUUGUCUAAUCUAAAAGGCCUUUGUUUGGAGUAGGUGUUCAUUGGAGCAUUAUAUGCAACAUUAAAUGUGAAUCCACUUCAAGAUGAUAAAAGCAC